CUCUGAUUUUAGCGGCGGACGGGUGAGUAACACGUGGGCAACCUGCCCUACAGAUGGGGAUAACUCCGGGAAACCGGGGCUAAUACCGAAUAAUCAGUUUGUCCGCAUGGACAAACUCUGAAAGACGGUUUCGGCUGUCACUGUAGGAUGGGCCCGCGGCGCAUUAGCUAGUUGGUGGGGUAAUGGCCUACCAAGGCAACGAUGCGUAGCCGACCUGAGAGGGUGAUCGGCCACACUGGGACUGAGACACGGCCCAGACUCCUACGGGAGGCAGCAGUAGGGAAUCUUCCACAAUGGACGAAAGUCUGAUGGAGCAAUGCCGCGUGAGCGAAGAAGGUUUUCGGAUCGUAAAGCUCUGUUGUAAGGGAAGAACACGUACGGGAGUAACUGCCCGUGCCAUGACGGUACCUUAUUAGAAAGCCACGGCUAACUACGUGCCAGCAGCCGCGGUAAUACGUAGGUGGCAAGCGUUGUCCGGAAUUAUUGGGCGUAAAGCGCGCGCAGGCGGUUCUUUAAGUCUGAUGUGAAAGCCCACGGCUCA
rnacentral:rRNA from 1 species